rnacentral:rRNA from 1 species
UACGUAGGGUGCAAGCGUUGUCCGGAAUUAUUGGGCGUAAAGAGCUCGUAGGCGGUCUGUCGCGUCUGCUGUGAAAACUCAGGGCUUAACCCUGAGCUUGCAGUGGGUACGGGCAGACUAGAGUGCGGUAGGGGAGACUGGAAUUCCUGGUGUAGCGGUGAAAUGCGCAGAUAUCAGGAGGAACACCGGUGGCGAAGGCAGAUCUCUGGGCCGUAACUGACGCUGAGGAGCGAAAGCAUGGGGAGCGAACAGG